CUUUCUCUCUCUUUCAUCAGUUUUCUCUCCCCCCCCCCCCCUUCAAAUCCUCUCUAAGAUCGAUUUCGUCAGCAUCUCCGAUUCCUCUAAUUCCUUCACCUUUGUUAUUUUCCUCUUUCAAUUCGUUAGGUAUGACUUAGUUCAGGCUGAUCUUGUAGUGGCCAACUUCAACGAACUUUCAGUUAGAUCUCUUCCCACUGCAGUCCCUUAUUACAGAUCUCCGGAGAUUAUUUUACUGAUGAGCGCUUGCCUGUGGUAAUCAUGACUUAAACUACACUUCCUCAUGAUGCAUACUUGCAUAUUAGUACGGUUCUUUUGCUCUUUUAUUUUUUUUGGCUUCUGUGAGAUUUGGCAGCUGCUGUGAUUCAUACUAGAUGCUGUGAAUUGAUAUCUAGUGUAGCAGGUUUGAUCAGUCUGGGUGUGUUGUUGUGUAUGUUUCUGUUCAGUUUAGUUGGCUUAUGAGAGUUCUAAGAUGCUGGAUGUGAGUCUUAUUAGUUUUAGUUGUUGCUCCUGUUUCUGUUCAGUUCAGUUGGCUUAUUGUGUUGGGGCUGGUGCAAGCCUGGUUACUUGGGGUGGGUGCUAGAAGUAACUUACUACAAAAUAUGCAAGUAACGCCUAUUAGCUUAAUUGGUAGAACUUUGUGCAAUUGCACAAUUAUGUAGAUUCGAAUCCUACAUAAGCACCUCUUUGUAUUCGUUUAUGGUAUUAAUUCUCAUGUUUGAUUAUUCUUUACUUUUGAAUCAAUUCUAUUUACUUUUACAAGUUCAUUAUUUACUUUUGAGUUAACAAAAGGAAAAUUAUGUCAAUGUUGGACAAGCAACGGGGGAUGAUUGCUUGUGUAAACUUUCUGAGAUGGUGUUAGAGAACCUUCUCCUGUGAUGGUGUUCCGGGUUCAAUACGGGUAAAUAUCAAGCGACAUGUAUAUUGAGUAUGAGUAAAAGCUAGAAUUCUUGAGCAGUACUCUCUGACAGGACAUGAUUUUGGGGUUGUGUUCUGUUUUCUAGCUCCAUGGUAACUUCCUUGGACUGAGUACAAACAUCGGCAGGGAUAUUGUUGCCAGCAAAGCCAACCACGACAGUUGCAGCUCCGAUGUAAUCCAAUUGCUUGGGAGCAUUGCCUAUCAGUGUGUCAACCAAAGCUGCCAAAGGGACCUGAAUGGUGAGACCAGUUGUUGCAACUGUUGUUGUCGUCAAAAGAACAGCUUUUGCCCAUAAGUAAUGACUCAUAACGUUAUCAAGCAAACCAGAAAUCAGUUCCUAGGAGCAUAAAGCUGCAGACCUGCAGUUGAUAAGCACACAACCCUACAGAAAGGAAAAGUUUCAAACUGCAGGAUGUUUGAGCCAAAUCGGAAAACUCAACCCCUUUCUUAGAGCAGUCCUAGAGGUCAACCCGGAUGUUCAAGAGCAGGCAGAAGAAGGCGAUAGGCAGAGGGAAAAAGAGAAGAAGUGUCACUCAGUUAAAGCAGCUCCUGGGCUAGAUGGGAUACCGAUAUUAGUAAAGGAUAAUAUUGAUACAAAAAAUUAAUAUUAGUACAACUGCAGGAUCAUAUGCACUGCUGGGUUCAGUUGUUUCUAGGGAUGUUGGUUUUGUUAAAAGGCUAAGGCAGGCCGGGGCUAUCAUUCUUGGGAAGACUACGUUGAGUGAAUUGAAGUAAUUUAUAGGCUUCCUGUUAUCGGGUACCAAACAGUAUAUAAAAUUAUUCGAAUCACUUUACUUUUUAAUUAGUUAUAUUUACUUUUACGAAUUCUUUAUCUACUUUUAAUUUGAACAAAAAAAAAAUAUGUAAAGCUAUGAUCCACUCAUCGACAUGUAGUGUCCACAAAAGAGCAUACUCACACCUCAUUGUAGCUUAAUGUUUAAGUAGGAUACAUUUAAACUAAAUAAAAAGUACUCAGUAUGUUAGAGGACUAGACAGCAGCCAUACAAAACAAACAACUUCCUAAACACAGAUCAACACUGGUAGCAGAUCACCCAUACUAACAUCUCAGACUACGACUCAAACUAGCGAUCAAAGCACAAAAAAAGAACCAGGCUGCAAACCAAACCCUAAAAGUAAACUAAAUCUCUUGUAAAGUAAAAUUAAUCUCUCCAAAAGUAAACAGAACAAGUUAGGGUAUAAACUAAUUGAACAUGACACGACUAAAAUUCAACACAAUCUCGUCUUUGCCUACAUACAUCUUAAGUAUAAGCCAUCACCUACCUCAGCAUACAGUCUCCCAAAACAAGACUGGCAGAAACAAAGGCCGAACAGAAGUGGAUCUGCAGCAGCAAAUCAUCACAGAAUAAAAUAGAACACCAUCUAUUAAUCAUCCAUUGCAUUUCUCGUAAUAGCGUCAUAAGAAUUCAGAACCAGGAAAGCAGCCUCACGAGUUUACUUCUGAGCAUAAUUGAUUUACUAUUACUAAGUUUCGAUCUACUUUUUAAAAUGAAAUAAAAGAAUACUUCAUGAGAGACUAUUUCUAGCAACUUACCUAUGUAAACCUAUACUUGCCGCAGGCAGUAAUAUAUGGUAACAAAAUCACCACCCGAAAUAACCAUUAGAACUUGCUCGAUCUCCAUAAGGUCAUCUAAAACCAGCGAUGCAUAU